rnacentral:lncRNA from 1 species
GUUUUUAGCAGAAAGGAUCAACACAAUUUGUUUGGACCUUAGAAUCACGUAGAAAGAGCACUCUUGAAAUGUCAACUCUUGCGAAGGGUUCUAGAGACAAGAUAAUCCUCGAGACUGAGAGAGAGAGAGAGAAGGAGAUUGAGAGGAUCUGAGUCUGCGGUGCUCUCUGUCUCUGCCGAGCUCUUCCCUUGAGGGCAGAGCUGAAGAGACCCGCCCUUCUCCGGCUGCGUUUUGCCGCCCUUCCUGUUAGCACGAACCCGGUGAGGGUCAGAGGCAGAGAAAAGCGUGAUUGUUUUCGUGUGUUUGUUUUCCAGAAGCCGGGGAGAGAGAAAGUGAACUCCACAGACCAACGGUGCAAAGGCUCUGGGAGGUGAGCAGGGGCCAGUUCCACUGUCACCAGGGAUGGAGUCAUCCUGGGCCCGUGUACCCUCCAUGCUGGACAUGUUUGGAAUGACCUCAGGACUUAGCUUCUCCCUUUCAAAAGCAGUUGCUCUCAAAGAUGGCGUGGUGAUGUCUAAAGAAUUCAGGAUUUGGAUUCAGAAUCCCCAAGUCUUGGUCUAGGCUCUUUCGCACACACACGAAAGAAAAAGAAUCCUGACUAAGGUGGAAGGGGCAGAAAUUCCUGCUGGAGAGAAAACAGUCACCUUUGGGAGCAGUGGAGUUUCUCAGCUGGGCAGACAGGAGCCACCCUAAGGUGUGCAAAAACAUCUUCAUCACGAAUGCUUAGAUUCAAGGACAGGUCAUUUUCCCAUUGCAAGAUGGAUUGAGGUCAUGAGAAGAGCAAGAGUUUUGAGGCCACAUGACCUAGGGUUUGAAUUGUGACCCAGCCCUUUAUUAGAUGAGCUGCUCUCUGACUCAAGCUGUGACCCAUCUUCUUGAGUCUCAGUGUCCACCUUGCUGGAAUACUAAUAAUGUCUACCUCACAAUGUAGUCACCAGUUUUCAGUGAAAGCAUGGAAGGCUUGGCAUGCCUGACGCAAGAUUAGGGAUUUUUUUAGCAUCUCUAAAUUUAACUUUUUCUUUGCAAGGGAGGGAUAAUAAUAUUUAUUCAAUAUCUAUGACACAAGUAGUAUUGAACAUAUAUUUGGUACCAGGUACUCUUGUACUCUUCUAGGAAGGGGAAGCAGCAAAGAAUAAAACAAAGAUUUUGGCCCUUGUGGAGGUUAAAUUCUUGCGGAGGAGACCGACGGCAGACAGGGUGAAUAAGCAAAAUAUAGAGUAUGUCAGACAGUGCUGGGCACUAAGGAGAAAAAGAUAAGGCAGGGUUGUUGAAAGGAUUAAAUAAGAUAACAUAUAAAAUGUUCCUAAUCAGUGUCUGGCACAUUAUCAAUAGUCCAUUAACAGUAGCUAUUCAUCUCAAAC